GUAACAAGGUUUCCGUAGGUGAACCUGCGGAAGGAUCAUUAAUG
rnacentral:rRNA from 2 species